rnacentral:rRNA from 1 species
AGGACGAACGCUGGCGGCGUGCUUAACACAUGCAAGUCGAACGGAAAGGCCCCUUUCGGGGGUGCUCGAGUGGCGAACGGGUGAGUAACACGUGGGUGAUCUGCCCUGCACUCUGGGAUAAGCUUGGGAAACUGGGUCUAAUACCGGAUAGGACCAUGGGAUGCAUGUCUUGUGGUGGAAAGCUUUUGCGGUGUGGGAUGGGCCCGCGGCCUAUCAGCUUGUUGGUGGGGUGAUGGCCUACCAAGGCGACGACGGGUA